rnacentral:rRNA from 1 species
GUCUAAGGCCAUACCACCCUGAAUGCGCCCGAUCUCGUCUGAUCUCAGAAGCUAAGCAGGGUCGGGCCUGGUUAGUACUUGGACGGGAGAAUAUUAGCUGUAGACU